GACGAACGCUGGCGGCGUGCUUAACACAUGCAAGUCGAACGAUGAACUUGGAGCUUGCUCUGGGGGAUUAGUGGCGAACGGGUGAGUAACACGUGAGUAACCUGCCCUGGACUCUGGGAUAACUUCGAGAAAUCGGAGCUAAUACCGGAUAGGACUUCGCACCGCAUGGUGUGGGGUGGAAAGUUUUUCGGUUCGGGAUGGACUCGCGGCCUAUCAGCUUGUUGGUGAGGUAAUGGCUCACCAAGGCGUCGACGGGUAGCCGGCCUGAGAGGGUGACCGGCCACACUGGGACGGAGACACGGCCCAGACUCCUACGGGAGGCAGCAGUGGGGAAUAUUGCACAAUGGGCGCAAGCCUGAUGCAGCAACGCCGCGUGCGGGAUGACGGCCUUCGGGUUGUAAACCGCUUUGAGUAGGGAAGAAGCCUCUUGGGGUGACGGUACCUGCAGAAAAAGGACCGGCUAACUACGUGCCAGCCGCCGCCGUAAAAC
rnacentral:rRNA from 1 species